AGGUUAGUUAGGUUUAAGUAGAUCUAAGUUCUAGGGGACUGAUGACCACAGAUGUUAAGUCCCAUUGUGCUCAGAGCCAUUUUGAGCAAUCACAUGCACUCCCAGGGUGUGUAACCCAUUCUCAGAUCUGCCUUGGCCUCUCCUGUGGACUAAAAGACUCUAUAGACCCUGUGGUUUCUCACAACCUGUUCCUGGAUGUCCUCAGUGCAUUUCCAGGCUCAGACAUGGUGUAUGCUAAUGGUUCUAAAGUCAGUGGGUGAACCAGGUUUGCCUACGCAUAUGCAAGGUGCAAUGAACUACACCUGAUGCUGAGUGGAUGCAGUGUACUGACUGUGGAAUUGGUAACCAUUGCUCGAGGCCUGAACCACAUUCAUUCUUGCACUGGCAAGCCGUUCUUAAUCAGCAGUGACUCUGUGAGUAGUCUUCAGGCUGUCGACCAGUGCUACCCUCAACACUCAUUGGUUGUGAUUAUCCAGGAUCUCCUGUAUAUCUCCACCAUGCUGGAUGGUCAGACAUCUUUUUAUGGGCCCCUGGUCACAUUGGGAUCCUUGGGAAUGAAUAUGCUUACUGGGUGGCUAAAUUGGCUACCAGGAUGCCAACUUUGGUGGUGGGGGUAGCAGAACCAGACCUUCGGUUGACUCCAUGCUGACAGUUGUUGGAAACUAGGAAUCAAUUGUCACAUCAUUGGUACAAAGUCAACUGCCAUAUCUUCCCUAACUUUAAGCCUUCUUCUUUUCUGUUAAAAUUAUUGUGAUGUUUAUAAAUCUCUAUGGCUUUUCUGUACGUACAUGCAUAAUAAUGCUAUGUCAUAACUAGCAUGCUUUUCUCACUAAAUUUUAAUUCAUGAUCACCAUCUUCAAAAACAUGUUCUGCUACAGCUGAUUUGUCAGUGAUUCCCAGAUGACAGUUUCGUUUUUGUUCGGUUAGGCGGAUAUUAACACUUCUUUUCAUUGUUCCAAUAUAAACCUCAGUAGGGGAUCCAGUAGUACUCACUAUUGGUCUCAGUGGGACAGCAGGCGUAUGCACCUUAGGUAGCCCAUAAAAUCUAGGAGGGUAAGCUGCUGCUUCUUCUUCUUCUUCUUCUUCUUCUUCUUCUUUUUUUUUCAAGGGUACUUUUUAUCAUCUGUAGGAAUGGAAGACUUUUUUAUUAAAUGAUUGGUAGCUGUUAACACUUUUGUUGUAGGACCCUUUUUCAACUUUUUGUAAGUGGUAGGCUCCAAAACAUCACUGAUCUUCGUAUGGUUGCCUUCACUCUUCAAGUGCUAUUGGAUCCACUCCUCAAGAGUUGGCUAGACAUCUCACCUUCUUUUUACAACUGUAUAUUGGAAAAACUAACCAUCAUAUUAAGAAGUCUAUGCACUUUAUUGAAAAAUUGAAGGAGAUUACUGUCAGCCCAAUUAAUGUUCUUGUCAAUUUUGAUUUGGUAUCCCUGUUCACCAUGGUUCUGAUUAACGAAGCUUUUUCUUACGUGGCUGAUAAGUUUCCCACUGGUAUGGUAUCUUUGUUUUGACAUUCCUAUCCAUGAUUAUUUUCAGUAUAAUUAUGAGUUCUGUGAGCAGAUUGAAGGAGUGACAAUGGAAAGCCCUCUAAGUCCACUUGCUAAUCUUUUUAUGGAAUUUUUUGAACAGCAGGCGCUGCAGUCAGCCAAUAAAAGUCCUCUGAAGUGGUAUUGAUGUUGUGGAUGAUGCUUUUGUGAUAUCACAAUGAAGAGGAAUUGAAUGGUUUCUUGGUGCAUUUAAAUAGUGUUAAUCCAAGAUACAAUUUGCUAGGGGGUCAGAGAGCAAUGGACAGCUUAAUUUUUGAAUGUUUCAGUAAUUAAAAGGGCAGAUUGGACCUUAGGUCAUAAAGUAUAUAGGAAAGAUACACAUACCGACCAUUACCUCCAUAACGAUUUGAACCAUCAUCCCAGGCAGAAGAGAGGUGUUAUUAAAACUUUGAUGGACAGGGCUAAUGAAAUCUGUGAGCCAGUUUAUUUGCAAGAGAAACUAGAUCAUUUGCAAACAGCUUGUAAGAAAAAUGGAUACACUGAUAAUGAGAUAGGCUGAGCACUCCAUCCCAGAAGAAGUGUGUCCAAAAACAUGCAACAACAACAACAACAGCACCCAUUGACUGGGAAAAUUUUUCUUCCAUUUAUCCACAAUAUCAUGGACCGUAUUGGGAAGGUUAUGGCCCAAGUUUUCCAAGUUGAAACAAUCUUUAGACACACCAAGAAGAUUUAUAAACACCACAAUAAUUUUAACAGAAAAGAAGAAGCCUUAAAGUUAGAUAAGAUAUGGCUGCCAACUUUGACUGUCAGAGAUAGUUUCACUGGUGACAGCAUGUGACAAGUGAUGGCACCCUCUAUGCACUCUACAUAAACGGGACCUCCACAGUCCAGGAGCCAGUUGUUGACUCACCUUGGAAGAUGUUGCCUGCAGCUAGCAAUGAAACAUCAGCAAGAAUUUCUACUGUUCGACCAUGGCCUCUUAGCCCAGAAGUUUUAACUAAUUAGGGAAUCUACUGUCCUGGCCACCUUUUGGUGAAACUUUAAAUAUAUUGAUGCAAUAAUGCUGGUGCUAGCAGUCAACACCAGAGCAGUUGGUUUGGUUUAAUUUUUUAUUUGUGAGUUUAGUUUUUUGUCCUCUCUGUGUCAUACAGCGCAUUAGCCUCAUUGGCUGCGUGAGGGAUUGGAGGGGUGCCCCCAUCACCUGCUCCGAACCGAGGGUCCCACGGCUGCCCUUGCUCAGUGGUCCAUCAUAGCUCAUGCCCUUUUCACCUUUUUAAGUCAUGUUAUUCUUUCACAUCUAUUGUUGGUUGACAGACUUUAAGUAAUUGUUCUCUUUCCUGAGAUUUUAUCUUGUCCAUGUAGCUAGUUUACUUGUGGUUAUAGAGGGUAUGGCAGCACCAUUCAGAUGCAGAGGACUUGUUUCUAGCUGCAUAAUGUGUCACUGGGUCUCCAGCUGCUUCCUAGGCAGGGCAACUCUUCCACCUUCACCCUUUUACCCCUCUCUCACUUCUACUUGUUUCUGACUCUUGAUUCUCAGAUACAGUUGAGCCCAUUGUGAUUUGUCUUUUGUGUCCUUCCUCUCUGAUUCCCAGAUUGUCACACAAAGGAUUAUGGGAGUGGUGACCUCAUGGUUUGGUUCCUUUAACCCCACCCACCCAUCCAUCCGUCCAUCCAUCCACCCAUCCAUCCAUCAACCUUAACACUAUUUGCUGUAAGUAGCAGCCUUAAAUUAAAGAUAUAGUGAAAUUAUAUGAAGUUAUGGUUGAGAUACCACAAAUGAAGAUCAUGUGAAUAUGAGUUCACAGUUCACUGGUACAUGACUGCUUGGUGAUGAAACAUGUUUCUUACACAUUACGUUGGCAGCAAGCAUGACAAACAUUCAUCAAGAUCUGCAUGUUGCUUCCUGUCAAGCUGGAUGUCUCGAGGGCCCAUAGUGUACCAGUAUCAUUUUAGCUCCUAUCGAUUCCAUCUUCAUAAUGUGUGCAGGAAGAAUGAUUUUUGUCUUCUUCUGUAUAAGUACAAAUUUUCUUGGUAUUACCGUCAUGGAUAUUAUCUGAAUUGUGUGUGGAAGAAGGUAGUUUGAAAAAUUCAAUUAUUUUGUGUUGUUUUCCAAAUAUCACAGAUUGUUGUUUCACCAGCAUUGUAAAUCAGUGCCAGAUUCUACUUAUCGGUGUUGCCUUCUUCAGGUUUGUGUAUUAUUUACAGUUUCUGCUGUAUCAUGAUAACAACACAUUUUUGCUUUUAAGACUGUGUGUAGCAAUAACAGAAACCAAAUGACUACAGUAUCCACUGCAACAGUACAGUCCAGCACUUGAGGUGUUUGAACAGCACGUUGUUUACUACACUCAUAUUGUAACAUGACAUUAUCCUUCCAGGGAGAAGAAAAAUUUUCAGCAUCCAGCAGCUAAAAAAAAGGAAGGAAGAAAGUUGGGAGAAAUAGGCCACAUAUAAUCCGCUCGCAGAUAAUAACAACCUUGCAGCCAUCUUCAGUGGGAGUCAAUGACAGAAUUACAACCACUUGGCGCAACUCUUUGGGAUAAAUGUGCCUACAUCAAAGAUAAGACUGUCAGUGUCAGUCAUAGACAAAACUUUGUGCUUCUAAGAAUGAAAUAUAGAAGAUGUCAAGUCAGUAAAUCCACAGUGCUAUUGAAUUAUGUGGUUAAUUAUUAAAAUGGAUUGCAUGUGUUAGAAUACCAUGAGGGGAAGACUCAGAAGAAUAAUUACUCUGAUUGCGCAAUUUCUGUUUUGCGCAAAGUAUGUUUAACGUGUGUGCAGUGCCCUCAGAAUGUGAAAGAAGAAGGGUCAGUCCCAAUAAAACAUGACAAGGUAUCAGUGUAGGACACCAUACAGAUGACCCUGCAACACCAAAUAAUGUAAAAUCAAGUUGUUCAAUAAACAAAACCCACUGAUGGUGGCACAGAGGUGCCAAAACAUUUUUGGGUAACAAGAAAAUACAGUGUUUUGCAUAAAAGGCGGAACCCAUAUCCAAUAAUUUUAACUGCGAACACAGAAAAAAAUACAAGAACUGCAAAAUCCAAAAUAUGAAUAAUUUUCUAUUGGUUAAUAUGAAUUUUUAAAUGUGAAAAUUUGAUUACUAUAUAUUAAUGGAUUGAGACUAAUUGCUGUUAAAGGAAUAAUCUUUCCUAAAAUGUAAUUUGUCUCAAUAAUCAAUAGGUACGUCUUGGACACACGUAGAGAAUUGAGACUUUGUUGCGAUUCUGAGAAGGGGUGAUUCUUGUUCAUCAGAAGUUUUUAAAUAUGGCUUGUCCAUCAUGUUUUUGUAUGGAAUUUAUUUUUGGAAAAGAAUUUGGGUACCUUUGCAGUCAGUGUCAACAAAAAUUAACGAGUGAAUAAGUAAUGCUGUAAUUUAUUAACUAUUUUUUCCAUUAACGGCUUAUAAAUUCUACAUAUGUUGGCACAGUUUUUCCUUUUAAUUUGUUUUCAUUUUUAUAAAUUUGAGGUGUAGUGAUGCUAAUUUUUAUUUUAUAGACUAUCAUUAUAAAAGAAAAUGUAGUAAUCUUGUUGAUGUUAUUAUAACACAAAUCUGGAUGCUAUUUACAAGAAUCAAUGUAUUAAAUGUGAUUGCAUAUAUCGUGAGAAACCACAUUGUAGAUAUAAGCUACAACCACAAUAAUUAUUGUUACAAUGUUGGAAUUUCUUUUGAGAUUUAAUUUUCAUUUCUGUUAUUUUAUAGGUGCUGCAGUUUCCAAAAUUAAUUUCUAAUUAAAUUCCUUAUUUAUCUCCUUUAUACAAAGCAUACAGGCAUCAUUAAGUAUAUUAGACCCAUAUACGCGCCAUUAUUCAGUCACAAAUGUAUUCACACUUGAGCGCAUUCCUGCGUUUCUAAAAUAUGUAUUCAAAUUAUUUGUAGUUAUCUGUGGAUCAAAAUGUUGGAGCUAUAAUGUCAGAUACUGAUUUUGUGUAAUGAUAAAUGCGUUUCACUUGGUCAUUUAGGCUGUAGUAACAGGAGAAACAGAAAAAUCUUGUUCCUAAGGGAAUGCAUUUACAUUUCAGAUUUCAGUAUAUUGUUGUUACUGUUGAAUAUAAAAUUUGAAAUAAGUGCCACUCAUGUGCAGCAUUUACACAGACUAUAUUAUAUGAGGCUUAUAGAGUGCUUAUGUAUCCAUUAUACAGUAGGAGAAUACCUCCAGGUGCUCUGUGAUGGUGUAAUACAGGAUAAUCAAUUUUGUAGGCCAGAUGCUAACUGUUCCACACAUACAAAGCUGGGCUGCUCCAGACAGCAAUUGGAAUCAGCAGUAUUCAUGCCCUAAUUGCUUCAAAGUAUAUCGCUGGAUGAUCUCAUUGCGCAGGCAUAUGAGAUUAGAAUGUGGAAAAGAGGGAAACCUUUGUUGCUCCAUCUGCAGUCGUCGCUUCAAGCAUAAGCAUCACCUUGUUAAUCACUUAGGUGUUCACAGACGCAGGGAUUACAUGGCCAGUGGAAGCAGUUAACUGGUCUGAAAAUUGUGUGGAGGGCUCUGAUGAAAGAAUUGGUUUAGAGGCAAGAUUUGUGUGCAAUAACUGUGGAAAAUAUUAUCACCUGAAUACUUCUCUCCAACGCCAUCUGCGUGUAGAAUGUGGACAAGAAGGAAGACAUGCAUGUUUCUCAUGUGGUCGCAAAUUUAAGCAUAGGUUUACUCUCGCAACACAUGUAAGAAGAAACAUCUGUGACAGAUUCAGGAACUUACAGUGAAAUAAGAGCAAUUUUGACUGUAAAAGGAUUUUACAGUGUGAUUGCAAGCAUUUCAAUAAAUCAAUAUCGCAUAUGAGGCAUUUUGUUGAGUCAGUUUGUGUGUUAUUUUCCUAGUUAAGCACAUCAUUUUACUUACCAUUUAUUGAGAGCAAAGUCUGCUGUACAUAUAUAAAUUAAACAUUAUUCUUCAGAAAGUGUUAAUUAUUAAUCACUGUUUAAUUGUAAGUGAUGAACUCCUGUGAUUUUGGAUAAAUUAAUUUGGAAGAGAAGUGUGAUAUUGUUGAACACACAAGAAAAUGUGAGAAUAACCCGAAAUCUUCUGAUAUUCAACCAUCGCACUUCAAUAACAGCUGUUCUUUCUUUUAUGAAUGUCAUACAAGUUGACACAACAGUAGAAUGCUAAACAUGAUGACAUGAUUACAAACCAGACAUUCUUGUUUGUAUGUUUCUUUAAUAUGUUGUUGAUUACUUACCACCAAGGAUAUCAUUGCAUCAUCUGUAGCAAUGGCCAGUCGCAAUGAAUGUGCACUCAUUCACACUUUCUAUUGCAGAGCUUCCAUCAAAAAACUUAACAAUUCAAAUGUAUAAAAUCAGAGAGGUGUAGCUAGGAUCAGCUGCUUUUUCUGACAACAUUAAUAGCAAACUAUCACUAUUGAUCUGAAUCUGAUUGUUACAUGGUAAAGGUACUUAUUAUGAUACAGUAUUUGCCAUCGAUAUGAGCAUAAGUAAAUGUCUUUCAGAGUCAGUGGGAAGGCUACAACUUCUAGGAAUACUAUUCUGCUGUUAUUCGAUCAAAACUAUGAACUAAUAAGUAGAUAUACUCAUUGCUGUCAAAAGAUGACAGGUAAUAUGUAGCAUAUUCAUUGAAGCUUAUUAUCAUCAACCUCCACUGGUGUG